GUGCUUGCUUUGGCAGCACUUAUACUAAAAUUGGAACGAUACAGGAAAAGAUUAGCACAACCCCUGUGCAAGGAUGACACGCAAAUUCGUGAAGCAUUCCAUAUUUUA
rnacentral:snRNA from 1 species